UACGAAGGGGGCUAGCGUUGUUCGGAAUCACUGGGCGUAAAGCGCACGUAGGCGGACUUUUAAGUCAGGGGUGAAAUCCCGAGGCUCAACCUCGGAACUGCCUUUGAUACUGGGAGUCUCGAGUCCGGAAGAGGUUGGUGGAACAGCUAGUGUAGAGGUGAAAUUCGUAGAUAUUAGCUAGAACACCAGUGGCGAAGGCGGCCAACUGGUCCGGUACUGACGCUGAGGUGCGAAAGCGUGGGGAGCAAACAGG
rnacentral:rRNA from 1 species